ensembl:lncRNA
CAGUAGGUAUGGUGUUCUUUGGAUGCAACUCAGCAUUCUUUGUCCUCCAAACACGACAAGUUGAGUUUUUACCAAAAAGUUAUAUUUUGGUUUCAUCUGACCAUAUAACAUUCUCCCAAUCUUCUUCUGGAUCUAGCAAACUUCAGAUGGGCCUGGACAUGUACUGGCUUAAGCAGGGGAACACGUCUGUUACUGCAGGAUUUGAGUCCCUGGCGGCGUAGUCUGUUACUGAUGGUAGGCUUUGUUACUUUGGUCCCAGCUCUCUGCAGGUCAUUCACUAGGUCCCCCCGUGUGGUUCUGGGAUUUUUGUUCACCGUUCUUGUGAUCAUUUUGACCCCACGGGGUGAGAUCUUGCAUGGAGCCCCAGAUCGAGGGAGAUUAUCAGUCGUCUUGUAUGUCUUCCAUUUCCUAAUAAUUGCUCCCAUAGUUGAUUUCUUCAAACCAAGCUGCUUACCUAUUGCAGAUUCAGUCUUCCCAGCCUGGUGCAGGUCUACAAUUUUGUUUCUGGUGUCCUUUGACAGCUCUUUGGUCUUGGCCAUAGUGGAGUUUGGAGUGUGACUGUUUGAGGUUGUGGACAGGUCUUUUAUACUGAUAACAAGUUCAAACAGGUGCCAAACAGGUGUUCUAUUGUCUUCUUGGCUGAUUUAUUUUGAUUUUCCCAUGAUGUCAAGCAAGGAGGCACUGGGUUUCAAGGUAGGCUUUGAAAUACAUCCACAGGUACACCUCUAAAUGACUCAAAUUAUUUCAGUUAGCCUAUCAGAAACUUCUAAAGCCAUGACAUAAUUUUCUGUAAUUUUCCAAGCUGUUUAAAUGCACAGUCAACUUAGUGCAUCUAAACCUCUGACCGACUGGAAUUGUGAUACAGUGAAUUAUAAUUUAAAUAAUCUGUCUGUAAACAAUUUUUGGGAAAAAUGACUUGUGUCAUGCACAAAGUAGAUGUCCUAACCGACUUGCCAAAACUAUAGUUUGUUAACAAGACAUUUGUGGAGUGGUUGAAAAAUGAGUUUUAAUGACUCCAACCUAAGUGUGUGUAAACUGCCGACUUCAACUGUAUGUACGUUUUCCAGAGAGAUCACAGGGAGUGUGGGUUGUUGGGAAUAGACAGUCUGUCAGAGAGGGUAGUGUAGUGUAGUGAGUGGGCAGCAGAUGUCAGACCUCUCAGCCCUCCCCUGCCCAGGGAGCACCUGUUGGGCCGGGGGCCAUCUGGAGGUUGAGACCUAUUACUCUGUGUGUGUGUGUGUGUGUGUGUGUGUGUGCGUGCGCACAUGCGUGUGUGAAAAGGGGGUUGGAGGCGUUUUGUCCCGCAAGGCCACACCCCAGUGAUACACUCUACACUGACCUACAUGACACUGCACUUCUCCAGACCUCCACAUCCCUCUCUCUCUCUUGCGUCAUUUUCCAUCAACCCCCAAAACAUCUCUCUCUCGCUCUUUGUCUUUCCAUCUAAAACCUCCAUCAUCCAUUACAUCUGGUCCUAUCAGAACGCUUCGGAGGCGCUGCUGUACAGACAUUAACAAUUCUCACACUACCUAAUAGAAAAGAUAAGACAUAUAGAUCAGAACUAGCGUCAGUGACACCCCAGGUAGAGUGCAGCUGCAGCUCUGCCACACCUUGGAUGGGGAUACAGAGGUGUGUAUCACUGGUAGGGUUGAAAUUCGGUAAUUUUUGGUAAUUAACAGAAAACAUAUGGCAAUCUAGUUUAACUUUGGCAAUUUUGAACUUAAAGAACAAUUUUUUUAAAUUGUUAAUAUAUAGUAUUAAUUUAUUAUAUCUGUGUCCAUAUUGUCUAUGAGUUUCUAGUCAAUAGACCAUACGGUUCAAGAGAAAAUAGUUUAAUUAAUGAAAAAAAAACAAUAGCAUUAUUUUCAAUUAACUCAAACUCUUCCAACUAUUGACUUUUUUUUACAACUGCCACAAGUUUGACGCCAAAACAUUGACAACAAAUACUUAUUGACAUAGUAAUAUAAAUAACUUUGUAAAAAAUAUAUAUAUAUACAGACACCUGUGAUCAUCUGAAGUACCCAAAAGGGCCACAUUGUGAUAGAUUCAAUCAAAUCCUUUAAAGAUUCUGGUAGUUCACUGGUAAACUUUGAAAGUUUCCAGUAAUAUACCCUCCCUUUCCAACCCUAAUCACUGGUUAUUGUAUCUCUGCUCUGGUCUGUAGCAAUACUGCUGCAUCUCCUCUCCUGCUCCAGCAGAUGUGGAUCCCCAUGGUGACAGGAGAAGAACACCAGAGACACUGCAGAUGGAUGAGUUACACAUCACAAAGAGGAGGAGACAGAAUGACAGACUGCAGGCGCCAUCUGGGAGCGAGAUGUGCAUUACAGGAGCUAUCCAUAUGGUCGGGGCAUCAUGACUUUGCUCAUCUCAUCUCCCGUCAACAUCUCUUCUGCUCAAGUCCUCUCUCAAAUGAUCCACAUACACAUUCUAAACAGAAAGACAAAAACAUGCUCGUGUUUAUAGAUUUUUGCAGAGAUUAUACAAAUUUACACAUAACAGUCGGUAUUAGAUUAAAAUGUUAAACUCAUGUCUUCAAUACUCUUAAAAUGUACAUUUCCUCAUGAAUCGGGUGCUAUAGAUUAAGACUCUUCAUACAAUCUGAUUAUAGUACAUUUAUUAUAAUACAGAAAAUGAUUUGCCACCUCCAUAUCAUCCCCACCCCCAGACGUUGUUCAGUGUCGGGAGCUGGGGGCUUUUUUAAACCCAUCUGCUGUCUCGCACCUUCUAAUCUGCCCCCCCCCAGAACCCAAUGGCAUCGUACUCCUCAUCCUGUCCCCAUCCUACCCACUCAUCACCCAGUGCAUAAUAUAUUCCCCCUGUAACCAAAUACUACAGCUCACAUUGUAUUAAGCCACGUUGCAUAUGCUUAUAACACACACAGUGAUGUUUACAGACCUGUCAUCUGGAAUGUACUGUAGGCUAGAUGUAAGAUAAGUGUAUCUAUGUAUAUUUAGAAAUAAACAGUGUCAAUAUUAAAUCUCUGUGUGUUUGCUAAUUAUGACAAAUUCUUAUUCUACUCAAAAUCAACACUUAUUCGUCGCAAUUACUUUUUUUAUUGU